CGCGGGUGAAAUAGGCCCGGGCGCGCCGCCCCCAAGUGGGUGCGGCCUGGGCAGGCGGCGGGAGCAGGGAGGGGCGUUGCGCCCGGGUGGGCCCGCCCGGCCCUUUAAACCUCCGCCUGCGUGGGCGGGGCCGCCGGCAAGGUUGGAGUGGGCAGGCAGGUGGCGGGAGUCUUUGGGCUCCUGCUGCCCUAAAUCUGACCUCAGGAGCCAGGCCCGGAGAGGGUAGGGUAGGGACAUCGGGGGCAGCUGCAGGGCGGUGGGCCCCCAAGGGGCUUCUUUAGGAGGCGGCGGUCAGGCCCGGGAAGAGUCCAUCCCUGAAUUGAACGUGGCAGUGGGGCGGGGUUUUCUCCCCCACCUCCUUCCUUUUCUGGGGUAGUUCUUAACCCAGUGGAAAGGUGGAGGCAAGCAGGGGCCUUGGAAAGGCGAAGGCUGGAAAACAAGGAAAGCCCUGGUGUUCUGCUCGGAGAUUGUCGGCCUAAUCAUUUGUUCUGCGGCUACAUCACCCAGAGGCUGGACCGCGCAGAGGAUCUCUGUCACCUCAUACCUGGCGGGCAUAUGUCUCUGGACCAGGAUAGAGCAGUGAUGAGAAGGAAGGGGAGUGGGGCAUAACGCCCUGAUGCCCAGACAGAUACAUUUCACACCUCGUAAUAAAGGCAGCUUGUAAUGCCUGCAAGAAAUCCUGAAGCCCUAUUCAGAAGCAUGCUCCUUGCUUGUUUAACGUUGCUACCCAAGAACAAUCCUCUAUUGAAGUGCUGGAAUUUUAAGUGGA